rnacentral:rRNA from 1 species
GAUGAACGCUGGCGGCGUGCCUAAUACAUGCAAGUCGAGCGAAUGGAUUAAGAGCUUGCUCUUAUGAAGUUAGCGGCGGACGGGUGAGUAACACGUGGGUAACCUGCCCAUAAGACUGGGAUAACUCCGGGAAACCGGGGCUAAUACCGGAUAGCAUUUUGAACCGCAUGGUUCGAAAUUGAAAGGCGGCUUCGGCUGUCACUUAUGGAUGGACCCGCGUCGCAUUAGCUAGUUGGUGAGGUAACGGUUCACCAAGGCAACGAUGCGUAGCCGACCUGAGAGGGUGAUCGGCCACACUGGGACUGAGACACGGCCCAGACUCCUACGGAAGGCAGCAGUAGGGAAUCUUCCGCAAUGGACGAAAGUCUGACGGAGCAACGCCGCGUGAGUGAUGAAGGCUUUCGGGUCGUAAAACUCUGUUGUUAGGGAAGAACAAGUGCUAGUUGAAUAAGCUGGCACCUUGUCGGUACCUAACCAGAAAGCCACGGCUAACUACGUGCCAGCCGCCGCGGUAA